rnacentral:rRNA from 1 species
GAUUCUUCGGAUGAUUUUCAGUUGACUGAGCGGCGGACGGGUGAGUAACGCGUGGGUGACCUGCCCCAUACCGGGGGAUAACAGCUGGAAACGGCUGCUAAUACCGCAUAAGCGCACAGAGCUGCAUGGCUCGGUGUGAAAAACUCCGGUGGUAUGGGAUGGGCCCGCGUCUGAUUAGGCAGUUGGCGGGGUAACGGCCCACCAAACCGACGAUCAGUAGCCGGCCUGAGAGGGCGACCGGCCACAUUGGGACUGAGACACGGCCCAAACUCCUACGGGAGGCAGCAGUGGGGAAUAUUGCACAAUGGGGGAAACCCUGAUGCAGCGACGCCGCGUGAGCGAAGAAGUAUUUCGGUAUGUAAAGCUCUAUCAGCAGGGAAGAUAAUGACGGUACCUGACUAAGAAGCCCCGGCUAACUAUGUGCCAGCAGCCGCGGUAAUACGUAGGGGGCAAGCGUUAUCCGGAUUUACUGGGUGUAAAGGGAGCGUAGACGGCAAGGCAAGUCUGAUGUGAAAACCCAGGGCUUAACCCUGGGACUGCAUUGGAAACUGUCUGGCUCGAGUGCCGGAGAGGUAAGCGGAAUUCCUAGUGUAGCGGUGAAAUGCGUAGAUAUUAGGAGGAACACCAGUGGCGAAGGCGGCUUACU